rnacentral:lncRNA from 1 species
GGUGAGGGCGUGUGCCAUGGGAGAGGAAUCCUGAAGUAGGAGAAAGAGCAGGACAAUUGGCCUUUUAUGACCCGGGGCGAGUGUCUCAUCUUGGCCGUUCCCAAGCCACCUACCACCCUGGGCCUCACUGGAUGGAUGUGAAGACUGGCCUCAGUUUGGAGCAAACUGUAAAGUAUCAGCUUUGCCAAGCUCGGCGUGUGGGGCAGCUUUCUGUCUGAUCACAUGCUGAAUACGCCAGGGCACCAAAGAAAAGCUCAACCUAGGGAACACCUGGGACUUGGGAAGACCGUGUUAGAAGGACAUGGAUGCAAUGCAAAAAGGCCUCCACCAGUGCCACAGAGAUGGUUGCAAGACAGAGCUGCCAGAAGUUGUUGCAAGAGCUCCCUAUUGGGGAGACCAAAUCUAGGAACCAGUUAUUUGAGAUGAGGCCCUGUGUCCCAGAGGAAUCAUCAGACAGGUCAAACUACUAAUUAAAGACUCAUU